UCCCUGGGGGUCCAGUGGCUAUGACUUCACACUCCCAAUGCAGGGGGCCCGGGUUCGAUCCCUGGUCAGGGAA
rnacentral:tRNA from 1 species